rnacentral:rRNA from 1 species
UACGUAGGGGGCAAGCGUUGUCCGGAUUUAUUGGGCGUAAAGAGCGUGUAGGCGGCCAGGUAGGUCUGCUGUGAAAACUCGAGGCUUAACCUCGAGCUGUCGGCGGAAACCAUCUGGCUAGAGUCCGGAAGAGGAGAAUGGAAUUCCCGGUGUAGCGGUGAAAUGCGCAGAUAUCGUAAGGAAGACCAGUGGCGAAGGCGGGUCUCUGGACAGUUCCUGACGCUGAGGCACGAAGGUCAGGGGAGCAAACGGGG